AAACCCUUGAAUGAGUAGGUGUUCUAAAACCCUUGAAUGAGUAGGUGUUCUAAAACCCUGGAAUGAGUAGGUGUUCUAAAACCCUGGAAUGAGUAGGUGUUCUAAAACCCUUGAAUGAGUAGGUGUUCUAAAACCCUUGAAUGAGUAGGUGUUCUAAAACCCUUGAAUGAGUAGGUGUUCUAAAACCCUUGAAUGAGUAGGUGUUCUAAAACCCUUGAAUGAGUAGGUGUUCUAAAACCCUUGAAUGAGUAGGUGUUCUAAAACCCUUGAAUGAGUAGGUGUUCUAAAACCCUUGAAUGAGUAGGUGUUCUAAAACCCUGGAAUGAGUAGGUGUUCUAAAACCCUUGAAUGAGUAGGUGUUCUAAAACCCUUGAAUGAGUAGGUGUUCUAAAACCCUUGAAUGAGUAGGUGUUCUAAAACCCUG